UAUUCAACUAUUAAAAA
rnacentral:tRNA from 1 species